rnacentral:rRNA from 1 species
AGUGAACGCUGGCGGUAGGCCUAACACAUGCAAGUCGAACGGCAGCACAGUAAGAUCUUGCUCUUACGGGUGGCGAGUGGCGGACGGGUGAGGAAUACAUCGGAAUCUACUUUUUCGUGGGGGAUAACGGAGGGAAACUUACGCUAAUACCGCAUACGACCUACGGGUGAAAGCAGGGGAUCUUCGGACCUUGCGCGUUUCAAUGAGCCGAUGUCGGAUUAGCUAGUUGGCGGGGUAAAGGCCCACCAAGGCGACGAUGCGUAGCUGGUCUGAGAGGAUGAUCAGCCACGCUGGAACUGAGACACGGUCCAGACUCCUACGGGAGGCAGCAGUGGGGAAUAUUGGACAAUGGGCGCAAGCCUGAUCCAGCCAUACCGCGUGGGUGAAGAAGGCCUUCGGGUUGUAAAGCCCUUUUGUUGGGAAAGAAAAGCAGCAGGAUAAUACCCCGCUGUUCUGACGGUACCCAAAGAAUAAGCACCGGCUAACUUCGUG